GGACCCGCACAAGUAGUGGAGCAUGUGGUUUAAUUCGAAGAUACGCGCAGAACCUUACCAACACUUGACAUGUUCGUCGCGACUCUAAGAGAUUAGAGUUUUCGGUUCGGCCGGACGAAACACAGGUGCUGCAUGGCUGUCGUCAGCUCGUGUCGUGAGAUGUUGGGUUAAGUCCCGCAACGAGCGCAACCCUCACUUUUAGUUGCCAUCAUUAAGUUGGGCACUCUGAAAGAACUGCCAGUGAUAAGCUGGAGGAAGGUGGGGAUGACGUCAAGUCCUCAUGGCCCUUACGUGUUGGGCUACACACGUGCUACAAUGGUAUCUACAACAGGAAGCAAGACUGCGAAGUUAAGCAAAUCCCUAAAACGUACCUCAGUUCGGAUUGUACUCUGUAACUCGAGUGCAUGAAGCUGGAAUUGCUAGUAAUCGC
rnacentral:rRNA from 1 species